GUUGUGAUGUCAUAAUUUUUAGUUUGUUUUUAUGUUAUUUUUUGUAAAAUGUUUUAGGUUUUUUUUUGUUUUGUUGUGAUAUCAAAAAUUUGUUUUUUGAACUGGAUUAGUACCCAGGUAAUCAAAGUUUAAUAAUUCGGGAGUAAAGUUUUGUUUAAACCGAAAAAAUAUUGACUGACUUUAGAUUUUUCUUUGGAAUAUGUGAUUUGCUGGAGAGCCCUCUUUCUUGGUGAGUUUUAUUGGCACAUGUAUGAUUGUUUAGUUUUUAUUUUAUUUUGUAAUGCUUUUUUGUUUUGGCAUUUAAAACAGAUAUAUAUUUGGCUUAUGAGUUCAUGUUUCAUGUGUUACUAUUAUGAAUUUUUUUUGGAUAAUUUUUUUAUUUUUUUUUGAAAUUGGAAAAGAAAGUAAUUUUUUCU
rnacentral:rRNA from 1 species